rnacentral:tRNA from 1 species
UGUAAAGGGAUAGGAAUCGAACCCACGACCUUCCGGUUACCGGGCAGAUGCCAUGACCACUAGGCUACCCUGGAC